AUUGAACGCUGGCGGCAGGCCUAACACAUGCAAGUCGAACGAGUGGCGGACGGGUGAGUUAUGUCUGGGCAACUGCCUGAUGGAGGGGGAUAACUACUGGAAACGGUAGCUAAUACCGCAUACCACAAGAUGUGCCCAGAUGGGAUUAGCUAGUUGGUGGGGUAACGGCUCACCGAGGCGACGAUCCCUAGCUGGUCGGAGAGGAUGACCCGCCACACUGGGACUGAGACACGGUCCAGACGCCUACGGGAGACAGCAGUAGGGAAUAUUGCACAAUGGGCGCAAGCCUGAUGCAGCCGUGCCGCGUGUAUGAAGAAGGCCUUCGGGUUGUAAGAUAAUUUCAGCGGGGAGGCGUUACCCACAGAAGAAGCACCGGCUAACUCCGUGCCAGCAGCCGCGGUAAUAC
rnacentral:rRNA from 1 species